AAUAGCAUGCUAUUUUUUAUUCAUAGAAUUUAUUGCAAUUUCUUGAUUUACAUUUUUUAGGAAGACAUUCCAUAAAUUAGAGGAUGGCAGUGUCUUCUCUUACUUCAGAAAGCCAGCAUUAAAGCCAAGACAGCCGUCUUCAGUUUCCACAUGGGAAGGAGGACAUUCUGUGUACCACAGGCACUCACUUCAGUACAAUUCCUGUAGACGUACAGAUUGAAUUGAAAUGGGUCUUACAGCAAUGUAUUAGUAAAUAAAAAUAAAUGCUUUUUUCACUUCAAA